rnacentral:rRNA from 1 species
GAUGAACGCUGGCGGCGUGCCUAAUACAUGCAAGUCGAGCGAAUGGAUUAAGAGCUUGCUCUUAUGAAGUUAGCGGCGGACGGGUGAGUAACACGUGGGUAACCUGCCCAUAAGACUGGGAUAACUCCGGGAAACCGGGGCUAAUACCGGAUAACAUUUUGAACCGCAUGGUUCGAAAUUGAAAGGCGGCUUCGGCUGUCACUUAUGGAUGUACCCGCGGCGCAUUAGCUAGUUGGUGAGGUAACGGCUCACCAAGGCAACGAUGCGUAGCCGACCUGAGAGGGUGACCGGCCACACGGGGACUGAGAAACGGCCCCGACUCCUACGGGAGGCAGCAGUAGGGAAUCUUCCGCAAUGGACGAAAGUCUGACGGAGCAACGCCGCGUGAGUGAUGAAGGCUUUCGGGUCGUAAAACUCUGUUGUUAGGGAAGAACAAGUGCUAGUUGAAUAAGCUGGCACCUUGACGGUACCUAACCAGAAAGCCACGGCUAACUACGUGCCAGCCGCCGCGGUAA